AACUCGAUCUCAAAUCAAGUAAGACUACCCGCUGAACUUAAGCAUAUCAAUAAGCGGAGGAAAAGAAACUAACAAGGAUUCCCCUAGUAACGGCGAGUGAAGCGGGAUGAGCUCAAAUUUAAAAUCUGGCUGGUUUACUAGUCCGAAUUGUAGUUUAUAGAAGCGUUUUCGGUGGCAGCCUGGGUAUAAAUCCUUUGGAAUAGGGUAUCAUAGAGGGUGAGAAUCCCGUCUUUGACUCAGUGCAUGCUACUAUGUGAUACGUUUUCAAAGAGUCGAGUUGUUUGGGAAUGCAGCUCAAAAUGGGUGGUAAAUUUCAUCUAAAGCUAAAUAUUGGCGAGAGACCGAUAGCGAACAAGUACCGUGAGGGAAAGAUGAAAAGAACUUUGAAAAGAGAGUUAAACAGUGCGUGAAAUUGUUGAAAGGGAAACGUUUGACACCAGUUAUGCGGGUGGAAAAUCAGUCUUUUGCAAUGGGGAGUUGUGGGCGUUCAGACCGCAAGGCUGGCGUUUGCUUCAUCUUUGUUGUAAGUGAUGCACUUUUUCAUUUGCAGGUCAACAUCAGUUUGCUUUGCUGGACAAAACCCCAAGGGAAGGUGGCAGCUUAGGCUGUGUUAUAGCCCUGGGGCGAUACGGUGGAGUGGACUGAGGUUUCGCAGUGUGUGCUCUCGGGCAAGGCUGACUGGGUGCUAUGGGAUCGUUCGGCGUACAAUGCAUGCAUUUUGCGUCGUGUCUUUUUCAUACUCGCUCAACUCGGCUCUUCCACACUUAGGAUGUUGACUUAAUGGUUUUAAACGACCCGUCUUGAAACACGGACCAAGGAGUCUAACAUAUAUGCAAGUGUUUGGGUGGCAAACCCAUGCGCGUAAUGAAAGUGAACGUAGGUGCGAUCCGCAAGGUGCAGCAUCGACCGAUCUUGAUAUUUUUGGAUAGAUUUGAGUAAGAGCAUAUAUGCUGGGACCCGAAAAGAUGGUGAACUAUGCCUGAA
rnacentral:rRNA from 1 species